rnacentral:lncRNA from 1 species
CUGAGAGCAGAGUUAACAACAAAUAUAUCAUUUUCUUUAAUCAGCUCAUGCUUCAGAGAUGAGUGAUCUCUGUCUUUGGGAUUGUGAACUUGGGAGCAGUUCAGUAUACAGUGUGGCUGGUCAGAGAAGUUUCCAAAGGAGAUGAUUGACUCGCCUUUCAAAAGAAUUCUAAUUCACAGAACUGCUCAUGAACUUCAAGAUCUCAACAGAGAGAAUUGUGCAGGUUACAGGGGAUAAGUACAUCAUUUCCAUGGUGACCGGUGAUGUAGAGAAGACACAGGAAAAUUGACCACUAACAAGUUAUAUCCACUGGAUUGAAUGCCAUAAUGGAUGUGAAACACUCAUCUUCACUUUUUACAUGAAAAGAAGAGGAAAUCUGGAUACACAGAGGCACCAAUGAUACUCAGAGAAGAGUUCAUGUGAAGACACAGCAGGGAGGUGGCCACAUGCAAGACAAAGAGAGCAGUCUCAGAAGAAAUCAACCCUGCCAACUCCUAGUCUUGGACUUCCAGCCUCCAGGACUGUGAGAAAAUAAACUUUUUUGUCAUUUAAGCCCCCCAGGCUGUGGUACUUUGUUAUGGCAAGUUGACUUGACCAAUUAAUCGCCUGUAAUUAUCUCAAUAAAUAAAGAAGAAGCACUUGACAAAAUUCAACAUGUUAAUUUUUAAAAUUCUAACAGAAAAAAAUCUGCAGAGCUUUAUGUAGUUAUCAAAUAAGAUCUUAAAUCUAACAUCCAAAUUUAAUGGUGAAAGGCUAUGCUAUUGUUCAUGAAUCAGGAACAAAAUAAAGAUGUCUGUUUCUGUUACUUUUAGACAAAAUUUUGCUAGAGCUAUUAGCAGUACCAAAAAGGACGAAAAGGGGUUAAAAAAUGAACAUAGAUUACAAAGACCUAAAACUCCAUCUAUUCAUACACAACAUGAUCAUUUAUAAAGAAUAUACCAAGUUAUCUACAAAAUAACAAGAAAAUGAGUUCAGCAAGUUUCCAAGGAACAAGUUAAAUAAACAAAAUUAAAUUUAUUUUUAUGCUUGUGCUAUAAAUAUUUGGAAAGGAAAAUUAAAACAAUGUGUAAUGCUCAAAAGCAGCAGAAAAUAUGACACACUUAGGAUGAAUUUAGUAAAGCAUGUAAUAUUUGUAGACUAAAAAAGAAAUCAUUGAUGAAAUUAAUGAAAUAAAACAUAAAUUAGCACAGUAAAUCACCAAGAUUCAAGAGAAAAUAUAGAUAACCUUAGAUUUGGCAAUGACCUUUGAGGUACAAUACAUAGCUCAUUUCUUUCUAUUCCUGAAUAUUAUUUGUAUCACAAGUUCAAUUUAUCACUUUUUUUCAUAUUUCAUAUUCACUUUUUUAUCUUCUAUUAAAAAAGUGAUACAUUGAACUUCAUUAAAAUUGAAAACUUAUGCUGUGCAAAAUAUACUGUUAAUAGAAUGACAAAACAAGUCAUAGACAGGGAGAAAUCAUUUUUGAAACACAUAUCUGAUUAAGACUUGUAUCCAAAAUUUACAAAAAACACUUAAAUUUCAAGGAUAAGAAAUGAAAAAAACAACCCAACAAAAAGUCAGCCAAAGAUCUGAAGAGAUAUCUCACCAAAAAAGAUAUGCACAGGUUUGAUAAACAUAUAAAAAGAGGCUCAACAUCAUAUGCCUUUAAAGAAUUAAAAAUUAAAACAAUGAGAGACCACUAGACACUUUUUUAGAGUGGCUAAAAUCAAAUACUGAAAACACUAAAGGAUGACAAGGACGUGGAACAACAGUAAUUCUCAUUCAUUGCUGAUGGGAAUGCAAAAUGGUACAGCCACUUUGGAAGGCAAUUCGAUGGUUUCUUACAGAACUAAACAUAUUAAUCCAACAGUAUCAAUAAUUACAUUAAGUUUAAUCUUACCAUAGGAUCCAGCAACUGUGCACCUUGAUGUUUACCUAAAUGAGUUGAAAACUUGCAUCCACACAAAAAAUCUGCACUUGGAUGUUUAUAGCAGCUUCAUUCAUAAUUGAUCAAACUUGGAAACAAACAAGAUGUCCUUAAUUGGGUCAAUGAAUCAGCAAACAGUGAUGCAUCAGAGGAUGGAAUACUAUUCAGGAAUAGAGACAAAUGAGCUAUCAAGCUAUGAAAAAACAUGAAGGAACCGUAAAUGCAUAUUUGUAAGAAAGAGAGUAUGAACGUCCACAUACCACAUGAUUCCAAAUAUAUGACAUCUCAAAAAAGGCAAAACUACAGAGACAGUAAACAGAUCAGUGGCUAUCAGGAGUUUGGAGGGGAGAGAAGAGGAAUAAAAAGGUGUAGCUUAAAGAGAAAUUUUAGGGCAGUGAAACUAUUCUAUCUGACACUGUAUGGUAAAUGACACUAAACAUUUUUCAACACCCCAAAAAACUGUACAACACCAAAUGUAACCCCUACUGUAAACUUAGUACUUUAGUUUACAAUAGUGUAUCAACGAAGGUUCAUUAAUUCUGUCUAAUGCACGACACUAAUAUAGGAUGUUAGUAACGGGGAAAUUGUCUUCAGAGGGAGAGGGUGUAUGCGGUAGUUGCGUGUACUUUCUCCCCAACUCUUCUGUGAACCUAAAACUGCCAUAAAAUAGUAUUUUAAAUUAAAAAAGUAAAACAACUACUGAACUUCAAAAUUACAUUCAUGUCUCUGAAACGUUAUGCUGAAUGAAGUAAGCCAGACACGAUAGGCUAUAUGAUACAUGAUCCAUUCAUCUAAAAUUCUAAGAAAUAAAUCUAAUCUAAAGGGACAAAAUUAGACCAAUGUUUGGCUGCUGCUGGAUGACAGGAAUAGUGACUAUAAUGGGAAAUAGGCAAAUAUUUGGAGAUAUAGAAACUGUACCUUCCUCUGGUGGUGCUUGCAUAGGUAUAUAUAUCUUACAUUUGUAUUUACCUUAAGUUAUUAUAAAUUAAUAAAGGGGAAAUUAAAAUGCAAAUUAUGAUCCAUGAAAUAUUUAAAAUGCUGAGAACUUUGGUAUCCAAUUUGCAGGCUACGGACAGAGUCUAAUUAAAUAAUAUUUAAUCCAUUCCCAAUUAAUUUUUUAAAAGUAACUUUUCAUGAAAGACAAUUAAUUUUAUGCAUUUCCUUAUCUUAUUCUUGUUCCUCCCUCAAAUUUAGUAGAAUUACCUUAAAGGUAUAACAUUUUAUAAGACUAAAAAUAUGACAAGAAAUUCCGCUGAAGGUGUUGGCAGAAGGAUUUGUAUUGGACUGUGUUUUUCCUGGCAACACGAAGCAAAACUAUACAUACACACAAACGCACACACACACAAAGAUACACAAACAUAAUAACCAU